GUGUCAGCAGCCGCGGUAAUACGGAGGGUGCGAGCGUUAAUCGGAAUUACUGGGCGUAAAGCGCAUGCAGGUGGUUCGUUAGGUCAGAUGUGAAAGCCCGGGGCUCAACCUCGGAACUGCAUUUGAAACUGGCGGACUAGAGUACUGUAGAGGGGGGUAGAAUUUCAGGUGUAGCGGUGAAAUGCGUGGAGAUCUGAAGGAAUACCGGUGGCGAAGGCGGCCCCCUGGACAGGUACUGACACUCAGAUGCGAAAGCGUGGGGAGCAAACAGGAUUAGAUACCCCAGUAGUCC
rnacentral:rRNA from 1 species